CAAUCGGCCCUUUUCAGGGCCACCAAAUAUUUAAACGUUGGAAUAAU
rfam:Nasonia vitripennis strain AsymCX Ctg6645, whole genome shotgun sequence.